AUGUGGCCUGUUUCUUUCUUCUCUCUUUUGAGAGAACGUGGCCUGCUUUUGUUUCCGCCAUCAGCGCAACUUCCCCAGAGUUCUUCUCUUCACUUCGAAGCGCGCGCAGGAGAGGAGAUGGGGACGGAGAUGAAGUCAUCGGCAGAGCGGCUGGAAGCCCUAGCAAAGGAGUAUCCGGGGUACAUCAUGGAGCUACUGGCGCACGUCCUCGACAACGACAACCUUACUGUCAAGUACAUCCCGGAGGACAUCAAGGCGCUCUUCGAGACGCCCUCCGGCUUCGCCAUCGACUCCGGCUACCUCUACGACAUCAACAUCGACUACACCGGCAUCCAGACCAUCUGGGUUCACUGCGGCAACAAGGACUCCGCAGACUUUUUUCUCUGGCGAAAGGGAUUCCUCAAGCUCGACAACAAAUCCACCGCCAUCCGCCCCGAUGGCAUUGAUAGCAGCCUUACCAAGCUUAUCAAGAAAGAGUGUGAUCCUGGGCACAUACUACUUGUCGGCGAAUCUAAAUACAAAGAAGCUAUUGAAAGCAAUCUGGGAAUUCCCUGUAGGUGCGAUGAAGCCGCGGAGGAGCUGAUGUGGGGCCUGCAGAACCUGCUGUAUGAUCUUGUGCCCGAAGAUCGAAUCGGAGUUCGGAGAGCAGGACCGCAAGUACCACAGCCGGAAAUUACUUGCCUACCUGCAUUAUUACAUUAA
rnacentral:rRNA from 1 species